UUGCUCAAAUGUCAGUUGAUGAGUGUCACC
rnacentral:piRNA from 1 species